GCUGGGUGUGGUGGCGCACACCUGUAGUUCUAACUACUUGGGAAGCUGAGACAGGAGAAUUGCUUGAACCCAGGAGACGGAGGUUGCAGUGAGCCGAGAUUUGGCCACUGCACUGCAGCCUGGGUGACAUAGCAAGACUCUAUCUCUA
rfam:Chlorocebus sabaeus isolate 1994-021 chromosome 20, whole genome shotgun sequence.